GUACACCACACACGUCGCAUCGGGAAACCGAAAAACAGUUUCACUGACAGUUCCGAAAUCACCUGACAUUCGCCGUCCCGGAGUGCGGCACCGAGUGUUAGUGAAAUGGGCCGACACGAUAUACAACUAUUUAUAAAUGCAUAAUCUCUAGCGGCGUGCUCUGAGGCUCAGUUCGCGAACAACUUGCGGCGUCGCGAUUCGUGAAAACCCGCGUGCGAAACAUGAAAACUGUCGAAAACUUCUCUGUGCCAAAAACAAUAAGAUAAACCCACAAUCAAAAAUGGAUUUCCGCCGCUAUUGUGAUUUUCAGUGAUGUAACUGUGUUGGUUUCUUCGUGAGAGACUCGAGUUAGCAAGAUGUGAAUUGGAUGAAAUCAAUGUUUACCUCUUCAGUGUUGUGAAUGACUAGUUUAAUUAUUUAUUAUAGUAUUAAAUCAUUAAUUAUGUAGUCAAAAGACGUAGAAUGGAAGCCCUUCCAAUAAACUAUGUAGCCCGAUCUACGAUGGUUGUGAUAACGUUGAAAAACACUGAUUGUGAAUCUUCCCAGGCUCAUAAAAGACUUUCAAGAAUCAAAGUGGUUGUAAUUCAGUUGUAAGUUGUGAUUAGAAGCAGAUAUAUUUAUGUCGUCGAUGGUUGUAUUUAUGUAAAUAUUGUCUACAUUUCUGGUGUUCACGUUUUUCCAUUAGAAACGUCGAAGUGAGGGUUUGUGUGGAAAUUUACCUCCAUAAUUUCCCCAGAGGUUGUGAAUAGUACAGUAAACGGACUGAAAGAAAAACUUGGAGAGUCCAUUAUCAUUGAGAUUUCGAUGUGGCAUAUUGUAUGGUGUUUGUUUGCAUAUAAAGUGUAAUUCAGUGGGUGGACUGCUCGCGAAUUGUUUGUGCUCGAGGGACGAGGAGCUUCGCUUAAGAAUGAGCUGGUGACCAGAUUGGCGGAGCGGCGACGCCCAUGUUGUGAUGGCUGCAGUUAAUUCGGUGCACACAGCCCGGCUGCCGCUGCCUACGUUCUCGCCUCGCGCUGUGCUUAUGUACAGCGCCGCAGUCGGC